GACAGAGGAUGCAAGCGUUAUCCGGAAUUAUUGGGCGUAAAGCGCACGUAGGCGGUUUAGAAAGUCCCAUGUGAAAUCCCACAGCUUAACUGUGGAAGUGCAUGGGAAACCUCUAGACUUGAGUACGAAAGAGGAUCGCGGAAUUCCCGGUGUAGAGGUGAAAUUCGUAGAUAUCGGGAGGAACACCAGUGGCGAAGGCGGCGAUCUGGGUCGAUACUGACGCUGAGGUGCGAAAGCGUGGGGAGCAAACAGG
rnacentral:rRNA from 1 species